AUACUUACCUGGACGGGGUCGACGGCUGAUCAAGAAGAGUCGUGGCCUAGGCUAGUGGUCCACAUUGCACUUGGUGGAUGUGCUGGCCUACCAUCUCCCCAAGUGGGAGAGUGGACGUCGUAAUUUGUGGUAGAGGGGGUACGCGUUCGCGCGGCCCCUG
rnacentral:snRNA from 1 species